rnacentral:rRNA from 1 species
AUUGAACGCUGGCGGCAGGCUUAACACAUGCAAGUCGAGCGGAGAUGAGGUGCUUGCACCUUAUCUUAGCGGCGGACGGGUGAGUAAUGCUUAGGAAUCUGCCUAUUAGUGGGGGACAACAUUCCGAAAGGAAUGCUAAUACCGCAUACGCCCUACGGGGGAAAGCAGGGGAUCUUCGGACCUUGCGCUAAUGGAUGAGCCUAAGUCGAAUUAGCUAGUUGGUGGGGUAAAGGCCUACCAAGGCGACGAUCUGUAGCGGGUCUGAGAGGAUGAUCCGCCACACUGGAACUGAGACACGGCCCAGACUCCUACGGGAGGCAACAGUGGGGAAUAUUGGACAAUGGGCGGAAGCCUGAUCCAGCCAUGCCGCGUGUGUGAAGAAGGCCUUUUGGUUGUAAAGCACUUUAAGCGAGGAGGGGGCUACCUGGAUUAAUACUCUAGGAUAGUGGACGUUACUCGCAGAAUAAGCACCGGCUAACUCUGUGCCAGCCGCCGCCGUAACAC